rnacentral:rRNA from 1 species
CUAGACAGCCAUAGUAUGCAGGUCACACCUGUUCCCAUUCCGAACACAGAAGUUAAGCUGUAUACGUUUCCGGCAGUAGUUUCGCAAGAAGCCAAACCGGAAAGCUGUCACCU